rnacentral:rRNA from 1 species
AACGUAGGAGGCGAGCGUUAUCCGGAGUUACUGGGCGUAAAGCGCGUGUAGGUGGCUUGUUGCGUCUGCUGUGAAAGCUUCCGGCUUAACCGGGACUAUGCGGUAGAUACGGGCAAGCUCGAGGGUGACAGAGGAGCGUAGAAUUCCGGGUGUAGUGGUGAAAUGCGUAGAUAUGUCACAGAACACCAAUUGCGAAGGCAGCUUACUAAGGUGCAAUUGACGCUGAGGCACGAAAGCGUGGGGAUCAAACAGG